AUCGUAAGUGCCGGCCUGAAGCCCCAAUUGACUGUGCUUGUCUAGACAAUCUCCUUCCCCACUGAUACCAUCUAGUUACUCUUUUGGACUUCAGCUCUUUAAACCUGCAUGCCCUCCAGCUGCUGGGAAAGUACACCCAGCAUACAAGAACUUCUCGGAGACCUCUGAACUACUGUACAGCUGUUUGAUGGAGAUUCAUGUUCCACAUCACAGAACUGAAAUCAGUACAAAUAUGCCAAAAGUAAAGGAACCUGCAUUUCCAGUUUUCCUUCAAGCCCUAUUGCAGAAGGCUCUUGGAGACAGUAAAUAUAUCUAGUCAUGUGAACUCUCAUCUAGUGGUCAGAUAACUUUUGAAAUGUCUUAUUUCGAAGAACUUGCAACUAGCAAGUCUAACAGGUAUAAUUUCAUUUUAGAUUUUUAAUAGUUUAGAAGCAAUUCUGAUCCUUUACUUUUCAAAGUGCUGUAACUCCAACUCUAGUCAAUAGCAACCUCAGUAUUUUAGCAGUUAGUGCUAAUUUCAAGAGCCCAGCUUCAGGAUACCAUUCAGCUGAAUGUCAGAGUAAUCAGUGUUUGAUUUAGAUACCACUGGCCUCUGCAGCUUUUCUGAAACACCCACAAGUUGACAUGCAGAAUGCUCUGCU